rnacentral:tRNA from 1 species
GUCGUCGUGGCCCGAGUGGUUUAAGGGCGUCAGACUAGAAAAUCUGUUGGGCUCUGCCCGCACAGGUUCUAAUCCUGUCGGCGACG